rnacentral:lncRNA from 1 species
GUGCAUAAGCUUCCGCUGCGCACAACAGAACCAUCAACCAACAGUUCAUAGAAUGCAUAUUUUUCACAAUUUUGAUGAGUGUUUGGGAGCAUUUUUUCUACUGUUUGCAGUGUUCAGUUCUUUGAAUAGUACUAUUUGUUUCAGUAUUCUUAUUUGUGUUUUAAUCUGCUUUUAGACAAUUGACGAAGAGAAAGCUUUGUGUGAGCAGGGGCAACAAUAUUCGGAACUGCAAAAGAUAGUAUUCCUGUAGCAUCUGACGUGGAAGAGCUGCAAAGCUUUACAGAAGCAAAUGGAAGGUACUUAUCCUUUGUUGUUGUUUAUGAGCACAUGUCUUUGUGUCUCCUGCGGAUUCCUGAUUGUUGAUUUUAUUUGGUGGUGGAGACAAGGAAUUAGCGCAUUCAAUAGGAACGUUAAGCCAACCUAAACUGGGCAGGAAGCUCGUCUGUUCGAACUGAAGCUGAAAAUGUAGAGCAAUCGCCAUUGGUGAGACAGAUCUAGAUGUGUCUCUUUGUGAUCAGAUUCUGUUAAAGAUGCUUCAGAAAUGGAUUAUGAUAGCCCUCCAUCUGGCCUGGGACGAUGCCUCCAUCCCCAAAAUAAUGGAGCACUUUUCCCAUCUGAGGUAUGAUCAUUAACCAUCAAUGAGAUGAACAAUAAUAUCCAAGUUUAAGAUAUAAGUGAAUGAUUGUUCUUUGUUUUUGCUAUGAUGUAGUGGGGAUUUCUUAUACAGAAUGAUGCAUUCAGUUGAAUCACACAGGCUUAUAUGAUGGGCAGUUGAAAACCCAAUUGGGUCAAUACAAAGUCAACACGGAGGAGGUGGUCUUCGAACAUGUGUUGUUUAUGCCAAAAUACAAUGAUAGGAUGCAAAGGAGUUAAAGGAAAAGCUCAAGCAUCCUUUUCAC